CUCCGGGGAUAACAGGCUGAUACCGCCCAAGAGUUCAUAUCGACGGCGGUGUUUGGCACCUCGAUGUCGGCUCAUCACAUCCUGGGGCUGAAGUAGGUCCCAAGGGUAUGGCUGUUCGCCAUUUAAAGUGGUACGCGAGCUGGGUUUAGAACGUCGUGAGACAGUUCGGUCCCUAUCUGCCGUGGGCGCUGGAGAAUUGAGGGGGGCUGCUCCUAGUACGAGAGGACCGGAGUGGACGCAUCACUGGUGUUCGGGUUGUCAUGCCAAUGGCAUUGCCCGGUAGCUAAAUGCGGAAGAGAUAAGUGCUGAAAGCAUCUAAGCACGAAACUUGCCCCGAGAUGAGUUCUCCCUGAGACUAUAAGUCUCCUGAAGGAACGUUGAAGACGACGACGUUGAUAGGUCGGGUGUGUAAGUGUAGCGAUACAUUGAGCUAACCGAUACUAAUGAACCGUGAGGCUUAACCUUACAACGCCGAAG
rnacentral:rRNA from 1 species